rfam:Rattus norvegicus chromosome 17, whole genome shotgun sequence.
AAAAAGGCUCUUUUAAGAGCCGCUUCCACUGUCCACAAGAGAUGCUGU